rnacentral:rRNA from 1 species
CAGCCGCCACGGGAAUACGAAGGGGGCUAGCGUUGUUCGGAAUUACUGGGCGUAAAGCGCACGUAGGCGGCUCCGCAAGUCGGAUGUGAAAUCCCUCGGCUUAACCAAGGAAGUGCAUCCGAAACUGCAGAGCUUGAGUACUUAAGAGGAUCGCGGAAUUCCCGGUGUAGAGGUGAAAUUCGUAGAUAUCGGGAGGAACACCAGUGGCGAAGGCGGCGAUCUGGGAAGAUACUGACGCUGAGAGACGAAAGCUAGGGGAGCAAAUGGGAUUAGAUACCCCAGUAGUCCCUGUCUCUUAUAC